AAAUGGGAUUGCUUCCAUGCAACUUUACGCAAGUGUCUAAAGUUACCAGAGUGGGAUUGGCUACAAACAUUGUCUUUGUGUGAGAACUAAAGUGCAAUUGACCUGGGGCUUCCAAAUGUCUGCCAUCUCUUUCAGUGUGGACUCAUGGGGCAUCAUCCAAACGGUAUGGAAGAAAAAGAAUGCUACUGCAAAGAGAAUGAUGAAGAUGUGAUGAAACACUUUAGCGCUCACUUCAAUUUCCAAGGACUAUAAACAUCAAGAAACUGAACACAUGUAAGUCUGAGACAGUUGAUAAUCUGAAGAGGACAAAAUUCCACUUUUUUAGGAAUUCCAUAUCAUGAAGGACUGAGCACUUAAAUGAGGACCCAGAGCAAUGGAAUUCUAAUUCUAUUGCCAUAAUGAUCAUUUGCACUCAUCUAACAUUUUACAAACUUAAAA